rnacentral:tRNA from 1 species
GCCCCUAUAGCUCAGGAGGAUAGAGCACCGGUUUCCUAAACCGGGUGCGCAGGUUCGAGUCCUGCUAGGGGCACCA